rnacentral:tRNA from 1 species
UAGGAUGUGGUGUAAUGGGAGCAUAAAGGGUUUUAAGCUCUUUGGUAUGGGUUCAAGUCUUGUUGUCCUAG